UAAACGCUGAAACUAAGCUGCUCCCCUGAACGAUGGUUUCUAUGGUUACCGCCAUUGGAAAGGUCACCUUCAGGAAGCUCCCAGUGAGUGCAUGCAGACUCCUACCAGGAAGUCCUCAGUGAGCGUGUGCAGAAUGCUAGUAGGAGAAUCACCCUGGCCUGUAAUUGCUGAUAAAAGAAGAUCUCAUUAGACCAGGGGACGUGAGGAGGCUGUUAUGCUGACUCUUUGUCUCUUUCUGUGUCUCUGUCUCUCUGUGUCCCCCCCCCCCUCUCUCUCCUCUUCUAUCCAGACAUUCAUUUAAAUUGGACAACCAGGGCUACAAGUAGGACACAAAACAAUGGGACAUUAAGAGCUGGUAUUCAUGAGUUUCUAUUGACAAAUAAAAAAGUCUGCCAAGAAAAAACCUGAAAAACAUUACUUUUAUAUGACUGCUGUAAGUCCUGCUGUAAAUGUGUAAGUACUGCUGAAUGCUGUAAGU